AUGGAUACUUCUUCAGGCAUAGUGAUGGUGAUGCUCUUGAUACUUGGAAGAACCCAUGGAGACUCAGUGACCCAGAUGGAAGGCCAAGUGACCAUAUCAGAAGGGGCUUUGUUGACUAUAAACUGCACUUACUCAUCCACAAGUUACCCUACUCUUUUCUGGUACGUUCAAUACCCUGGAGAAGGUUUGCAGCUCCUCCUGAAAGCUGUGAAGGCCAAUGAUAAGGUCAGCAACAAAGGUUUAGAAGCCACAUACAAUAAAGAAAUCACCUCCUUCCACUUGGAGAAAGCCUCCAUCCAAGAGUCAGACUCGGCUGUGUACUACUGUGCUCUGGGUGACACAGUGGCAGGAACUGCAGGGGGAGCUGAGCAUAAACUCAUAGCAGCACCCAGGGGCCUGGCUGCUGAGUGUCUGCCUCUGGGGUUCACUCUGGUUUCAGCACAGUCAAUGGUGUGUGCUGUUCCAUUUCUCUUCUUGAUGCAAAGUCAUACAAAUAUCCCAAGCAGCAACAGAAGGAUGGACACCCUCAACUCAGCUCUUCACUAG